AUUGAACGCUGGCGGCAGGCCUAACACAUGCAAGUCGAGCGAGCGGCGGACGUGUGAGUAAUGUAUGGGGUCUGCCUGAUAGAGGGGGAUAACUACUGGAAACGGUAUCUAAUACCGCAUACUAUCGGAUAACCCAUAUGGGAUUAGCUAGUAGGUGAGGUAAUGGCUCACCGAGGCGACGAUCCCUACCUGGUCUGAGAGGAUGAUCAGCAGCGCUGGGACUCGGACGAGGCCCAGAAUCCUACGGAGGCAGCAGGGGGAAAUAUCGAACGAUGGGCGCAAGGCUGAUGCGGCCAAGCGGCGUGUAUGAAGAAGGCCCUAGGGUUGUAAGGUACUUUCGGUCGGGAGGCGUUACCGAAAGAAGAAGCACCGGCUAACUCCGUGCCAGCAGCCGCGGUAAUAC
rnacentral:rRNA from 1 species